GGCAAGUUGAUGAAUGUUUGAAGUGGGAAACUGGAAAAAAGCUGUCUGGUCUAAGGAUCAGCUGCUGAAGAAAGAAGAAUCAAGAGGUGGAGCUCCGAGGCAAGAGUGAGCAAGAAGAGGAAGGAAGGAAACUACUGCAGAUGGGCAAAGAGAGAGGCUCCCUGGACAAAAGCAUGUCACGUCACAUGAGAGCAUUGCCGGCAUCUUGGGUGUCCAGGGGGGAAUGGAGGACUUGAUGCAUCAAGUCAGUGGGGUGUUCCUGCUCAAUCCUGUGAGUGGAGUGAGUGUCCUCUUGUCUCGCCCCUCUCUGGAUGCUGCAGCACCAGUUCUCACAUAUUGGAACACAGAGAUGUUCACCAGUUGAAGGU